AUUCACACACGUUGUUCUCCGUGCAGCUGACUUGGUGACAAUGCUUCUCCUGUUUUCUGCAUUCCUUCAUAUCAUGCUAGUAUGCUCUGGAGCAGCAAAGAGUUAGCACAGGACCAGCCAGCACACAAGUUUCAGACACGCGGAGCAUGCAAGCCGUGAAACAAGAGGGCCAAGGGGAAUGCCUGAUGACUAGUAUUCUGACAUUUUUAAAACAUUGACUACAAACUACAGUCAAAUGAGACAAUUUUACGUGGCAUUUUUCACCUGGAAAAAAUGUAUGCUUUCCUAAGAUAGCUCACAGUGUUGCAUGAUUCAGCUCUAUUUCCCACAUUAAGAUGGGUGCUGCCCAUUUACUGGGACUUGAGGUGAUGAGUCCUUGCCAGACCACAGAGGAAGAGGAUCCAGGCAGUCCUGAUGAGACUUACAAGCUAUGGGCAGAUGGCAAUGGGACUUCUUGUACAAAUUGAAUGGAAUUAGGUUUUAUUUAUUGAUUACUGGAGAAGAGUGACAGCUCUACUGUCUUCUGUGUUGUGAUCCAUACACAUGAGACGACUGCCCAUUUAGAUCUCUGGAUACAGAAGAUGAAGUAUUGAGUGAAAAUGAAAGUAGGUCUUUAUGUUGUAAACAUGAUAAGGAAAUCAACUUAUUUCACAAACUAAUCUGGGUUGAGGUAACACACACAAGCAUUUGUCUAAAAGUCACUGAUCUCACACUCUGUUAAAUCCUAUUGGUACUGUAGACUUAGAUGCUUGGGUUUCAGAUACAAGGGAGAAGAAAAAUUCCUUUAAAUUGGGGACACAAGGUUGAUUGUACACAUUGAUGCCAAGGGUUUGAAAACAACACGAGUUGAAUGCUUCUUUUAAUUCAAAGUCAUUGCUUUCCACAUUGCUAACAAGCAUUCUUUUUGCAGCAGACUAAACACCAGGGAGUGUUAAGAGGAAAAUAAUUCAUUUUAAGCCUUUUCAUACAGACUUUCCUUCUGAUAGCUUUGCCUUCAACAGAAUAUAUAGUUUGGUUCUUUCUACAUUGCUGAAGUAGGCAACAGCAUUUUAAGCCACUACUUAUAAAGUUAUCUGACAGCACCUAUGGCUUUGGAAUUUCUAAAGUGCAUGAAGUAUGGCAAUAACUACAUUUAUCGCUGGAUUUCAGAAUAAUACAUUUUAUACAAGUAUGGUGUAGUAGACAUUUCUGUGUUUUUUUUUUUGAAAGGAAUAAUAAAACACUUUAUACUCUUGCCACGUUGAGCAAAAGCCUGUGUUCCUUUAGAUUAAAGUAAGAAAAGAGGAACAGCUAUACCCUGUAAAUAAAAAAAAAAAAAAAUUGUAUCUGAUGCUCAGUGAGUAUGACUUAGACUAUUUUAAGGUGAUUUGGUACUAUGUCAAAAUCCUUUGCAAAUGUUAACUGUUCUAUAAAUGACACUGAUAACUUUAAUAACUUAGGUGCCAGAAUUUAAUUAUGCAAUUUAUAAAUCUUUAAGGAAAUCAUCCUUGACAAGGGGAAAAUUGAGAUAAUCCAAAAGUAAGAGGAGUGUUAUUUUGUUAUCUAAAAACAGAUACAAUGCAGAAAAGGCAACUCAUUCCCUGUAUGUGUUUGCUGACAUGAGUGGUGAAACCAAGGGGCAUAGAAAUGCCAGUAAAUGCUAGGUGUGCUUCCUCCUUUGGCAGUGGUGUAGCGAUUGCCAUUAAUGGAUGUCUUAUGAAAGAAAUAAAAUGAUAUUUAAUGGUUGCUCUUCUAGCACCCUCUUUCCUCCAUCCAACACACUAAACCAUUAAAGCCAAUCUUCUUCCUUUGUUGCUGCUGCACAGGUGGCACCAAAGCUGAGAGUUCUUUCUUUUCUGCCUUUUGUUAUCUCUCACGCAGACUUUCUGUCUCUGGAGACUGGUUUCUUUCCUGCCCGCUUUCUUUCCAUGAAUAUAAAGAAUACUGAAGAACUGUUCCCUCUAGAAGUCAUAGUAAACAGGGUUCUCUACAACUAAGACUUCAGGACUAAAACAUUCAUGUAUAUAUGAAAGUUACUGCAAUCUAAAAAAAACUUCUGUCCAGUAGCAUCAAUGUUUGUAGAGACAAGAAGAGAAAAGUGAGGGAGGUAAAUCAGUAAUACUGAAUCUUCUGAUAGACGCAUUCACUAUAAUCAGAAUUCAUUAAUUUUGAGGAAUUUGGAAAAAAACUGUUUUAUGAACUAAAUUAUAGAUUCAACCCAGUUUUUAGUAGUCUAAUUCACUUAGGGAUUAUAGAGAUGCUUUGAAACCCGAUGGCCCUGGAUUUGAAUGUCUGUUUCUAAGAGUAUUUUUGUACAUUUGGCAGUAGUGUUUUAGGAGUGCUCUGUCUCAUGUUAGGAUCUAUGAAACAGUACUGUCGGGUGUUUAUUAUUCAUUCAUCUCAAUUGCUAGAGUAGAGACACUGGAGUUAUUGUCCACCUUCACUUUAAACAGAGAAACUGCUGCUAAGGGACUGGCGCAGAGUUGCCUGUCAUCUACCCAAUUCAUUUUCAAGCGCUGACACUUGGCAGAGACUUGCCAUGACUCCCCAGUUCUGUGCUGCUUCUCUCAGAUAAGGAUGGAAAAUAAUGACUCAUCUCAACAGUUUUAGAAAUAAGUUAAUGAGAAAUUAAUGUACCCUGAUUUAAAGGACUCUUAAAAAUUACUAUUAUAUACUACACAAAAUAGUACUAUUGUCAUUCCUAAAAAUGUUUUCAGAGUGCCUGUGUUUUUAUCUUUCUAUACAUUCAGGUAAAAUUAUUUUAAUACACUGAAUUUAUAUACACACAUAUAAAAAUUUAAUAAGUAGUUUUUUUUCCUCUUACAGUACCAUGAAAGGAUUAUAAUGGCCAUUUUUUUACCAAAUCCUUAAAUGCAUGCAUUAGGCUUAACCAUAUGAUUACUUAUCGACUUUGAGACUGAAAUAAAUUGUCAAAACAGGCACUUCAAAGCACUUACCAUAUAGAUACAAAAGAAGUUUAAGGCAUUAUAUUUAACCAAUCAUUAUAUAAAAUUCCCAAGCAAAAAUAUAAUGUAAAAUGAGAGCCAAUUUCAUCAGCUCAUUUUGUCACAAUACUGAAGUUUAAAGUGUUAAGAAUGUAAUGAUUUUCUAUUAAAUAUGGUUCUGUAGUCCUAUGAAUCAUGUUAAACCAUCAUUCAAAAGAUAACAUCAGUUAUUGCUUUAAUGUGGGUACCAUCUUUGUAAACAAGAACAAAAAGUAAAAGAAAGAAUUCUAUUUUCUUUGUGAUUUUAAUGAUUAAUUCAUGUUAUCACUAUUACAGGUGAAUUAUAAUUCUUACUUAAAUAAAAAGAAAAUGAGGGAAUUCAGUGUGAAAUUUGUACAUGAUUUCUGUUUAUAGUCCUUCUUCUAACUCUCUGUUGGCAUAGGGAAU